rnacentral:rRNA from 1 species
GACGAACGCUGGCGGCGUGCUUAACACAUGCAAGUCGAACGAUGAAGCCUAGCUUGCUGGGUGGAAGAGUGGCGAACGGGUGAGUAACACGUGAGCAACCUGCCCCGAACUCUGGGAUAAGCGCUGGAAACGGUGUCUAAUACUGGAUAUGCAUCAGAGCCGCAUGGUUACUGGUGGGAAAGAUUUAUCGGUUCGGGAUGGGCUCGCGGCCUAUCAGCUUGAUGGUGGGGUAAUGGCUCACCAUGGCGACGACGGGUAGCCGGCCUGAGAGGGUGACCGGCCACACUGGGACUGAGACACGGCCCAGACUCCUACGGGAGGCAGCAGUGGGGAAUAUUGCACAAUGGGCGCAAGCCUGAUGCAGCAACGCCGCGUGAGGGAUGACGGCCUUCGGGUUGUAAACCUCUUUCAGCGGGGACGAAGCGAAAGUGACGGUACCCGCAGAAGAAGCACCGGCUAACUACGUGCCAGCAGCCGCCGUAAAAC